GAAUCUUAAUAUAAAAAUAAAUGUUUUAAAAAAAUUCUAAAAGGACGCGGUAACCUUGACCGUGAUAAUGUAGCAUAAUCACUCGCCAUUUAAUUGGUGGAUAGUAUGAAUGGUUGAACGAAUAUUCCACUGUCUUAAGAGAAAUUAUAAGAAAUUGAAAUAAUAGUUAAGAUGCUAUUUUAAACUGUAAGACGAAAAGACCCUAUAGAGCUUAACUAUAAUCUCUAUAUUAACAAAGAAAAUAAAUUCUAUAAUUAUAGAGAUUGGUAGUUUAGUUGGGGCGACUGUCUUCUAAAAAUAACGAAGACAAGCAAUGUUAAUAAAAAACUUAUUGUAUAACAAAAACGUUUAACAAUUAUAAAAAUAGGCUAUAAUGACCCGUUUAUACUUAGGAAAAAGAUAAACGAUCAAUUAAUAAAAGCUACCUUAGGGAUAACAGGAUAAUUUCGUUUUAGAGUCCUUAUCGAAAACGAAGUUUGUCACCUCUAUGUUGAAUUAA
rnacentral:rRNA from 1 species